UACGUAGGGUGCAAGCGUUGUCCGGAAUUAUUGGGCGUAAAGAGCUCGUAGGCGGUCUGUCGCGUCGGCUGUGAAAACUCGGGGCUCAACUCCGAGCUUGCAGUCGAUACGGGCAGGCUAGAGUUCGGCAGGGGGAGACUGGAAUUCCUGGUGUAGCGGUGAAAUGCGCAGAUAUCAGGAGGAACACCGGUGGCGAAGGCGGGUCUCUGGGCCGAUACUGACGCUGAGGAGCGAAAGCGUGGGGGAGCGAACAGG
rnacentral:rRNA from 1 species